GUUUUAAGGAGUGCAAGAAGACAAUGGCAUCUGCUCAACUCAAAGCUUUUCUUUCAAUGGUUAAUUAGUACCUUCUCGACUCAUUGCCAAAAUCUCUUCAAUUUCAACAGCAGCGGCCACCACUCUUCCCCAAAGAAACAUGGUUCUCUCUGCAGCACUGCCCAUUUUCCACCAAAAUCACAUCUCAAAUUCUUCCAAUUUUGAACACGACAUGCCGGCGAAGAACUACAUCUUUGCACCAACUAUUGAGAUGACCAUGGAAAUAGUUGAGCUAAAAAAAAGGAGCAAGAUGAUCAAAAGCAACAAUCUGCAGCACCUUACUUUGUUAAAAAUAUUGAAUUGAUCCUAGAUUCCUGAAGCCUUGGCAGAACAAUUUAUGUGUGUAGAGUAAUGAAAUUUAUCAUUUGUAUCAGUGGCAUUCAAACACAUCUAUCUAAUGAAUGAUUGAAAGGAUGGAUAUAUAUAUAUACACACACACACAUUUUCUUUGUCAUUUCAAUGUAGUGAUAAACUAGGGUUAAGCGUUGAAUUGGGAUCCUUUGCAACUGGACUAAUUAUAUCAACUACUGAUCUCAUAUAGUCAAGAAAUAUGUAAGCUGUUAUUAUACUCUAGAGAAAUUAAGUACAUUGGACAACCUCAUUCAUCCUCUUUUGUUUUUUUUUUUUUUAUUUAUUUAAAUUUAUUUUCCCCCUCAAUUUUUCUACCAUGCUAUUUCAUUUGGUUUUUGAUUUUCCUAAAGGUUUUCAUUUGAAGGGAAAAUAUU